rnacentral:lncRNA from 1 species
CUUCCUAGAAGCCUGGAUGGUCAGCCUUCCGUCCUGUUCAUAUGUCCUUGCUUGACACACUCAGGACUCUGUAAAUGGCAGUAACAGCAACCAAAAUGGAUGAGAGGGUAAGAAAGAAGGCCAGCUCCCCACUUCUCUCACUCUCCUGGCAAUAUAUGAAUCAGCAGAAAUAGGUAUCAGAUUCUUUGGCCUCUACCAGGCUGGAAUAGGCAUGAGUUUAUACUUUACUUUAUACUUGCUCUUAGAGUCAUGUGAUGGCUGUUGUUCACGUGGACACUGCCAGUUGAAUGCUGUCUGCUGGAAUCACUACAGUGAAACUGAGGGGAGGCUCACAGCACAGAUUUGUUAUAGGGAAGCUGAAGGUCGGGGCAAUGAUUCCAGUACAGGUCAGGCUCAGCACAGCAGAAGGGGCCGAUACCUCUACCCAGUAGGCCUUGCUGCUGUGUAUGGCCCCUGUAACAUCAUCUUUAGCGUUUCCUUAAAAUGUCUUAAAAUUAUCAGCAUCAAACUGUUUCCUGUGUCUUUUUCUUGCCAUGCAUAUGUGGAAAAUGUGUCCCAUCACUUGGCCUUUCCCUGUUGAGUCACGUACUGGAGAAAGAAUCCUGCACAAUGAAAACAGGAAGAAGAGGUUUGCUGGAGGGAGUGCACAUGGAAAGGCCCAGGACUUCCUUCCAAGGAGGCUCAAUAUGAGGACUACUAUGCAGAUGUUUUAGACAUGGAGGACACAUCCAAUGCCCAGAAAGAACCACACUGACUCCAGCUCAGUAGCCAAUUUGCCUAGAGUCCAGGAACCUAGGAGUCCAGGAGCCCCUUGGUCCUUUAAAGCACGUCAUGGUGGGCACACUGGGCAAAGAAAACCGCUCACUUCGUGUAAAGAAGUCACAGUGGAAGAGAAGGGGAAGUGGUGAUGCACUCCCCUUCCUGGAUUUGCCCCCUCUUAACUAAGUGCCUCUCAGCACUAGGGCCUAAGAGCUAAGCGCUAAGUGCCUAAGGCCCCACCUCUUAAAGCUGCCACCA